GUAGGGUCCGAGCGUUAUCCGGAAUCAUUGGGCGUAAAGAGCUCGUAGGCGGUUCAGCAAGUCGGCUGUGAAAGUUCGAGGCUCAACCUCGAAAUUGCAGUCGAUACUGCUGUGACUCGAGUCCGGUAGAGGAGAAUGGAAUUCCUGGUGUAGCGGUGAAAUGCGCAGAUAUCAGGAGGAACACCAGUAGCGAAGGCGGUUCUCUGGGCCGGCACUGACGCUGAGGAGCGAAAGCGUGGGGAGCAAACAGGAUUAGAUACCCUGGUAGUCCACGCCCGUAAACGUUGGAUGCUAGGUGUGGCGGUCUACCAACGACUGCCGUGCCGAGCUAACGCAUUAAGCAUCCCGCCUGGGGAGUACGGCCGCAAGGCUA
rnacentral:rRNA from 1 species